AUACCUUUCUCGGCCUUUUGGCUAAGAUCAAGUGUAGUAUCUGUUCUUAUCAGUUUAAUAUCUGAUACGUGGGCCAUCGGUCCACACGAUAUUAAAUUAAUUUUUUAAGGGGGAGAGUCCGCUACAGUAGCUUGCUAUUGGGGCUCUCGUGCGUCGCCCAAGUGUUGCACUACAGCUCGGGCCUGGCGCGCCCCAC
rfam:Theobroma cacao cultivar Matina 1-6 chromosome 5, whole genome shotgun sequence.